UUGCUUUUGCUGAGAGUCUCUGCCCGCUGCCGCCGAUUGCCGUCGCCGCUGCUCGUCGUCUUCAUCAUUUUGAGGUAAAUUUCAUCAUUGUUUAAUUUUUUUUCCUUCAAAAGAAAUAACUGAAGAUUGAGAAAUAUCUGUUGAAAACAAAUCGCCAUAAUUAAAUCCAGACUAAUUCAAAGCGUGUUUUCGCUUGUUGAAGCCGUGAAUUCGAUUUGUAUCUCUGAAUCUGAAGUUUCGACUUCCAUG
rnacentral:lncRNA from 1 species